rnacentral:rRNA from 1 species
AUUGAACGCUGGCGGUAGGCUUAACACAUGCAAGUCGAGCGGUAACAGUCCUUCGGGAGCUGACGAGCGGCGGACGGGUGAGUAACGCGUAGAAAACUAGCCCGGUAGUGGAGGAUAGCCCAGAGAAAUUUGGAUUAAUACUGCAUACGCUCUACGGAGGAAAGCGGGCUUCGGCUCGCGCUAUCGGAUGUGUCUGCGUGAGAUUAGCUAGUUGGUGAGGUAAUGGCUCACCAAGGCGACGAUCUCUAGCUGGUCUGAGAGGAUGAUCAGCCACACUGGGACUGAGACACGGCCCAGACUCCUACGGGAGGCAGCAGUGGGGAAUAUUGCACAAUGGGGGAAACCCUGAUGCAGCCAUACCGCGUGUGUGAAGAAGGCC